rnacentral:tRNA from 1 species
GGCGGCCUGGGCGACAGCCGCCCGGGCCUCUGGGGGGCGCCCGAGNCGGAGGAGGCGCGACGCCGGUUCGAGGCCUCGGGCGCCCC